ACUCCAGUGGCCUAGUGGUUAGAGCGUUCGCUUCAUAUGCGGGAGGUUGUAUGUUCGAACCCCAGCCGAGUC